rnacentral:lncRNA from 1 species
ACAAACAAAUAUAAAACGAGUAUGGAUCUCCACUAUCAUUGUCGCUAUACUUGAACUCGCCUUAAUUCUAUAUUGUAAUAUUAGUUUCUACUGUGGAUAUGACCUCUGUAGAGGACAAGAUAUGAAAAGUUAUAUUUGAAUGGUUCGGACACAUGAAGAAGAUUAUGACCUGGUAAGGCGGUGUAAAAGAUUGGUCUUGGAGGGUCUAAGGAGAGGUAGAGGUAGGCGAAGAUGAUCAUGAAGCAAGACAUGGUGAUACUCCAGCUUAUCGAGGAUAUGACCCUUGAUAGAAUAUGUAAAAGGUCGAGAAAUAAGUAGAAGGUUAAGUAGUCUGAGCGUUUUAAUUUCUUUGUUUAUACCAGUAGUGCACUACCUACUGUAAUCGUGUAUU